rnacentral:rRNA from 1 species
AUGAACGCUGGCGGCGUGCCUAAUACAUGCAAGUCGAACGCUUCACUUCGGUGAAGAGUGGCGAACGGGUGAGUAAUACAUAAGUAACCUGGCAUCUACAGGGGGAUAACUGAUGGAAACGUCAGCUAAGACCGCAUAGGUGUAGAGAUCGCAUGAACUCUAUAUGAAAAGUGCUACGGGACUGGUAGAUGAUGGACUUAUGGCGCAUUAGCUUGUUGGUAGGGUAACGGCCUACCAAGGCGACGAUGCGUAGCCGACCUGAGAGGGUGACCGGCCACACUGGGACUGAGACACGGCCCAGACUCCUACGGGAGGCAGCAGUAGGGAAUUUUCGGCAAUGGGGGAAACCCUGACCGAGCAACGCCGCGUGAAGGAAGAAGUAAUUCGUUAUGUAAACUUCUGUCAUAGAGGAAGAACGGUGGAUAUAGGGAAUGAUAUCCAAGUGACGGUACUCUAUAAGAAAGCCACGGCUAACUACGU